ACGACCAUACCCACUGGAAAACUCGGGAUCCCGUCCGCUCUCCCAUAGAUAAGCCAGUGAGGGCCGGAUUAGUAGUUGGGUCGGUGACGACCAGCGAAUACCUGGUGUUGUAUGUA
rnacentral:rRNA from 1 species